rnacentral:lncRNA from 1 species
CGAGCUUUUUUUUCUAAAAAGGAAGAAAAACAGUAGAUGGACAUAACCAAACAAGCCACACAUCAAGCAUCAUCAUCACCGUUCUAUAGAACACAAGAAUACUGCCUGCUGCCCUACUGGGAAGCACUCUCCUUUUCUUUCUCCUUCUCUUCUUCAGUCUUGGGGUGGUACCCAGGUAACUUCUCCUUGAUCUUCUCGAGUAGUCCCUUCUUCUCCUUGGCAUCUCCUUCAUGGGAAACUGCAGCUUCAGGGGAAACAUGUUCAGGAGCUGGAGGAGGGACCUCGUCAGCUUUCUUAUGUCCUGGCAAUUUCUCCUUGAUUUUGUCAAGGAAACCCUUCUUAUCCUCUGGUUCAUGGGGUGUCUCUGUAUGGACUACCUCGACAGGAACACUAGUAUCCUCGUGUUCCUUCUCCUCUCCUUUCUCUCCUGAUAUCUUCAUCUUCUCUUUCAAUGACCUCUUUUCCUUCUUCUUCUUCUUUUUCUCUUCAUCGUCACCUUCCUCCUCGUCGCUAGACUGCAUUUUUUAACACAUCAAAAAAUCUGUCAAUCUCAAGAAACACUUAACGGAAAAGACAACAAACAAAAUAAAUAAUGAGAUCGAUCCAUGGAUCGAGUUAGAAACUUACAGAGCUGGAAGAACUGCUGCCUGAUCGAUGGAGUUUCUCAAAGAGAGUAGGUUUCUUCUCCUCUUCCUCUUUUUUCUUGUGCUCUUCCUCUACUUUAGUCUCGGGUUCAGAAACCUGAAGUUUCUCUUCAAAUUCAGUACCAAUCACCUCCUCUUGAGGCUUCUCUUCUUCUUUCUUCCCCAGGAAAUCAAACAACCCGCGAUCCUUGGUCUCAACAGCACCACUCUCUUCACCAACUUUGGUCUCAUACUCAUGGCUCUUGUUUUCCUCAGCCAUACUGAUCAAAAUCACAAUAUGAACCUAAUCAAGAAAAGAUCAAAAUCACAACAGAGUAAUUAAAAUGAGUAAGCUUCUGCUUCGAGUGAUUUGCGCUUGUAACUGAUGGUUUGGGUUUGGGUUUGGGUUAGCAAGGGUGAUGGGCUUUUAUAGCUGGAAGCCAACGCGGAGCUGACGCGAUUAAGAAGUAAUAAAGCCAAGUGAGCUGGGCCAGUCAGGUUUCACUUCUGUAACCGACGUGUAAAUUUAAGUAAGGGAGGAAAUCAAAACGUAUUACUUCCGACAUGUAUAGAAUUAUAUGUACUCGCUUGAAUGAUUGGCUAGAUGUCUAGUAAUUAGAGAUGGAACUCAUGGGAGUGGUGGAGGCAUAAGCGUGUUCAAUACGCGGAGGAAUGUGUAAAGUAGCAGUCUGAAAGGAGGGAAGGAAGUAGAAAAGUUGAGAGGGGUACGCUGUAAUGUUCUGCAAAUGCCUUGGCGACACGUGGAACGAGAACGUGAAUGGCUGUCCUUGAGUGAGACCCGUGGUGUCGGCCUCGAUUGGAUAAAUAUGAAAGUGGGGGCGGUGUAUCUCGGGGCCACAGCAGAUUUUUUUUGUGUGUGUUGAGUGUGGGGUGGGAUUUUUUUUUUCUCAACGUAAAUAAAAUAUAGGUGCUGUAAACGUUUUUAUUAUUAUUAUUGAGAAAAAUUAUAAUGCAAGUUAAAAAGUUUAUAUUUGGGUUUAAUAAAAUAAACCAAUAAUUAUAUAUUAACAAAUGAUAAUAAAUCUAUUUGUUUUAAUUAAAUAUCCAGUUGAAAAGCUGAGGAAAAGAUGUUAUUUCUUGAAAACAAAUAUUGAAUAUUUGUUUCAUUUUAAAAUUAAAAUUUUUAAUUUUUAAUGGUUUUGAAUCAAUAAAAGUUCAAUUUUAUUUUGUUAGUAUUAACUCAAUGUUAAAAUUUAUAAUUGAUAUUGCAAUAACCCAAUUUAAAGUCAACUAGAAUAAACUAUGAAACCUACUUCUAGAUCAGGCUAAUAUGAGGGGAUCAAAUUAAAAAAAAAAAAAAUGAAACUAUCAAACUAAGAUGCGCCCUUAUAUGAUUUUUAUUCAUUUGAUUGUUAAAAAUAACAAUCAAAUGAAUAAAAAUCAAAUUUAACAUAUAUAUAUAAAAAAAACAACAUAGAGUUAAGCGCAAAACUCAACAAGAGACGGAAAAAAAAAGAAAAGAAAAAAAAAACCGGAGAGCCCUUGUCUCAAUGGGCCAUUAGAUAAGAAACUCCUCACCGUGAUGAUUUUGUUGGCACCAUGUAAGGGCGCAUCUCGAGCUUGGUAGUCGUUGCAAUUGUCGUCACAAUAUUGUGUCAUUUCUAAGUUAUUGGUGCAUGUGCUACAUAUGAUUAUUAUUUUUUUCAAGUUCGUUCAAUCUAGUCACUGGUUUCAAAAAAAAAAUGAUUGAACAUUUAUUUUAGAUUCAAAUUUGCCUUAUAAAGAUUCAUUUAUUUUAAAUGUGUCUAGUUGAUUAUCAACCGAGCAUUAAAAGUUUUUUUCAACAUGUCAAGAGCUCCAUGUAAAGUAAAGUAAAACAAAUUAUAAAACUGAAAAGCAAAUCAAUUUAUUGUGAAAAUGAUCAAAUUAAAAAAAUACGAGAGGGUGAGAUUAAAAAAAAGGCAAGAGUGAAAGAAAUAAACAGGAGAGGUGUUCGUUGUUCAAAUAAGCAGCAAAGCAACCUCAGAUAUUUUAUUGUUUUCUCUAGUAAUAUACAUGGAAUGGCUACUAAAUUUAAUUUUAGAAACGGAUUAUUUAUAUUAAGAUUAGAAGAUUUAUGGGAAAAUAUAUUCUUAUCACACAAAAUUAUCUAUUCGUUUAAUUCAUUUUGGUCUAGAACUAUUAACUUACUAAUUAGAUUAAUUAUUGGAUUACUGAGUUAUCAAGAGAUAUUGAAACAUAUAUUUUAUAAACAAAUUAGUAGAAGAAGUAAAGAAUGGCGGGCUUGGAUUUUAUAAAAUUAAUUAAAUUAACAUAUCAAUUUGUAUAGAUAUCUAGUAUUCAUGAUUUGAAAGAUCUACACGGGAGGAACUGGGAAUUCAAGGUUAUAGAAGCAGGGGGGUAUAUUAAGAUACAAAAAUCAUUUACACAUAAAAAUAUAUAUAUACAAUAAUUAUAGAUUUUAACUAAAAUAUACUAUUUUUUUUACUAAAAAGGACUUUUUAUAAAAAAUAAAAUUUAUAUAAAAUAACUAUUAAAUUUUGGUCAUCAUUUUAAACUUUCAGAGGGGUCAUGUGCACUGGGCCUCUUAUUCGGUAGCAUUUCUACCUCAGUGACCAGCAGAAUCACUUACAAACUAGUUAAUUGGCAGGGUUAGGGUAUAAAAAUCUAUCUUGACCUAUAAGAUCCGACUUUUUUGUAGCCUUGCCUUUUUUGGAUUACCUGCCUUAGUUGAUACCGUGGUAUUUUUUUAUAAUUAUAAUUUUUAAAAAUAAAUUUAUAAAUUAUAUUUUUUUAAUUAAAAUUUUAAAAAAUAUUUUCUAGUAAAAUCAAUAUAAAAUUAAAAUGUAUAUUAAUUAAUCAAGUAUUUUCAUAUGUAUAGUCUGGAGGUGGUUAAAAUCAUGGUAUAAAGUGUUUUUCAUAGUAUUUUUUUGUUUAAAAAUAUAUUAAAUAAUAUAUAUUUUUUAGUUUUAAAUGAAAAUAUAAUAAAAAAAUAUUAAUUUAAAAAAUUUAACUGCACAAAUCUGAAGACAAACCGCAAACCACGGAGCGUAAUCCAUUUUUUAAACAGUAAUUAUAAGAAUCCUAUGUAAGUAUUCAGGAUUUAACCGUACGAAGGGUCUGGGCGUCGUUCCUCGUCAUCGGAAAAAGUACCCCGAGUUGGGUGGGACCUGAGGGCGGUUUCGUCGGCAAGAAACUGAGGAAGGGAAGGGUAUCUCGAGAUUUGCGACUAGCAGGUUUGUGGUACGGUUCAUGUGUGGUGAGAGGCAAUAGUUUAAGGUGAUAAAUCGCUCUUUGACGUCGUGGAUGCGUUACUUGAGUGGACAGAUUGUCGGUUUAGUGUUGCCGAUGAUUGCAUUUCCAAGAUAUUUAUUUAUGAAUUACACACUAAUCCACUUUUUUUGUGGAGUGGUCUUUUGUGUUUGGCACAUGUCCACGUGUGAUUGCAAGUGACUGCUUCCAACCAUUCCAACUUCCAAUUGUUUAUUUAAUUAAAUUCACAUCAGCAUCAACUAUUUAUUAAAAUACCAUUAUUUUAAAAAGAUCUCAAUGCCAGCAGUUUUGGUAUUAUUUUUUUAACUUUGUUUGUGAAGUUAAAACCCCCCCCUGAAACCCAACUUUUAGAGCUCAGCUAUUGGAAGGAUUAUCUCUUUUAGGCUCCACUGAAUUAUACUUUUUCUAAGCCUAUUAAGUGUAUAAAGAUUCUUUAAUAAGCAUAUUAUAUUUCUAUUGAUAUUGACAUUAUAUAAGAAAUAGUAUGUAAUUUUUUUUAAACCUCCAUCAUAUUUUUAUCCAUUUAUAUGUGAGAGAUAUUUCUCAUCAACAUUAAUAUAUAUAUAUCAAUGAUAUUUUUUAUUUUUAAUAUUAUUAGAACAACAUUACAUUUUAGUCAUUUCUCUACACUGAAAGACUCGUAAGCUGUAAAUACAUCAUGAAUCAUUUAAAUAAAAUGUUCGGAAUCUUAAUUCUUUACUAAAUGUUUAUUUUUAUAAUAUCUAUUUGUAAUAUUAUUGUAUUUUCUUUUAAAAAAAUCACUAACUUAAUCAUUUGAGAGUUUUUAAAUUU